AAUGAUAUUAAUGAAGGCUGUGUUCCAUGUAAGUGCGGCAGAGUGUUUGCAGAGAGCCAGCAGGAGCAGCAGCAGGACUCUGGCUCUGUUUGACCUGGAUGGAAUGGAGCCAUAAUUAAUGUCAUUAGCAGCACCUGGGUUUACCUGUUAUUUCAAGCCAACAUGGCUGCUGUGAGAAAGGUCUACACUCUUGUAGUCAACAGAAUUAAAUCAAGCUCAGCUGGAUGUUAAUGCACAAACCAGCAUGGUCUACAGAACUCAGAACAGGAAAGUCCAACUUACCUGGGAACAGAACUUGGAACAGAGCUCCAGGAUGAAGGUGAUGGCACUGCUGUUGAUGCCUAUGAACAGGUUGAUGCAGGACAAAGAGACGUACGCUGUACUGGGGAUGUUGAAUAUGUAGGACAUGGGAUACAUCAUGGGCGUCACGGACCACCUGUAAGACAAGACGGCCAGGAAGAACUUCCAUCAGAGUAAUUUCCCUCCAUUUUGCCGUUUAUAUGUUUGGUUUAUGUCCCCCAGUUUUCUUCUUUGUCAAGUUGGGUUGGGUCACCUGUGUAUUUGUUUCUCCUUGAGGUGAAAUGGUUUAAUAAGCCCCUUUGUCUGUAUUUUAUCAUUUGUAAAAUAAAACAGAACUAAAUGUAAAAAUAUCUAAAUAAAUAAAAAAAAACAAUG